UACGGGGGGGGCAAGCGUUGUUCGGAAUUACUGGGCGUAAAGGGCUCGUAGGUGGCCAACUAAGUCAGACGUGAAAUCCCCAGGCUCAACUUGGGAACUGCGUCUGAUACUGGAUGGCUUGAAUUCGGGAGAGGGAUGCAGAAUUCCAGGUGUAGCGGUGAAAUGCGUAGAUAUCAGGAGGAACACCGGUGGCGAAGGCGGAUCUCUGGGCCUUACCUGACGCUCAGGCACGAAAGCUAGGGGAGCGAACAGG
rnacentral:rRNA from 1 species